rnacentral:rRNA from 1 species
UUUCGCAAUGCCCGAAAGGGUGACGAAGCGACGCCGCGUGUGGGAAGAAGGCCCUAGGGUUGUAAACCACUGUCAGGAGUUAAGAAAUAUAGAGAUAUUAAUAGUAUUUCUAUUUGACGAAGGCUCCAGAGGAAGCCACGGCUAACUCUGUGCCAGCAGCCGCGGUAAUACAGAGGUGGCAAGCGUUGUUCGGAAUUAUUGGGCGUAAAGAGCACGUAGGCGGCCUUGCAAGUCAGUUGUGAAAGCCUUUCGCUCAACGGAAGGAUGGCAGCUGAUACUACAGGGCUAGAGUACGGGAGGGGAGAGUGGAACUUCUGGUGGAGCGGUGAAAUGCGUAGAUAUCAGAAGGAACGCCGGCGGCGAAAGCGACUCUCUGGACCGAAACUGACGCUGAGUGUGCGAAAGCUAGGGGAGCAAACGGGAUUAGAUACCCCGGUAGUCCUAGCCGUAAACGAUGGGCACUAAGUAGAGGGGUUUU